rnacentral:rRNA from 1 species
GGUUAAGCGACCAAGCGUACACGGUGGAUGCCCUGGCAGUCAGAGGCGAUGAAGGGCGUGCUAAUCUGCGAUAAGCGCCGGUAAGGUGAUAUGAACCGUUAUAACCGGCGAUACCCGAAUGGGGAAACCCAGUGUGAUUCGUCACACUAUCAUUAACUGAAUCCAUAGGUUAAUGAGGCAAACCGGGGGAACUGAAACAUCUAAGUACCCCGAGGAAAAGAAAUCAACCGAGAUUCCCCCAGUAGCGGCGAGCGAACGGGGAGGAGCCCAGAGCCUGAAUCAGCAUGUGUGUUAGUGGAAGCGUCUGGAAAGGCGCGCGAUACAGGGUGACAGCCCCGUACACAAAAGCGCAUGUGCUGUGAGCUCGAUGAGUAGGGCGGGACACGUGGUAUCCUGUCUGAAUAUGGGGGGACCAUCCUCCAAGGCUAAAUACUCCUGACUGACCGAUAGUGAACCAGUACCGUGAGGGAAAGGCGAAAAGAACCCCGGCGAGGGGAGUGAAAAAGAACCUGAAACCGUGUACGUACAAGCAGUGGGAGCACAGGUUUACCUGUGUGACUGCGUACCUUUUGUAUAAUGGGUCAGCGACUUAUAUUCUGUAGCAAGGUUAACCGAAUAGGGGAGCCGGAGGGAAACCGAGUCUUAAUUGGGCGUUAAGUUGCAGGGUAUAGACCCGAAACCCGGUGAUCUAGCCAUGGGCAGGUUGAAGGUUGGGUAACACUAACUGGAGGACCGAACCGACUAAUGUUGAAAAAUUAGCGGAUGACCUGUGGCUGGGGGUGAAAGGCCAAUCAAACCGGGAGAUAGCUGGUUCUCCCCGAAAGCUAUUUAGGUAGCGCCUCGUGAAUUCAUCUCCGGGGGUAGAGCACUGUUUCGGCCAGGGGGCCAUCCCGGCUUACCAACCCGAUGCAAACUGCGAAUACCGGAGAAUGUUAUCACGGGAGACACACGGCGGGUGCUAACGUCCGUCGUGAAGAGGGAAACAACCCAGACCGCCAGCUAAGGUCCCAAAGUCAUGGUUAAGUGGGAAACGAUGUGGGAAGGCUCAGACAGCCAGGAUGUUGGCUUAGAAGCAGCCAUCAUUUAAAGAAAGCGUAAUAGCUCACUGGUCGAGUCGGCCUGCGCGGAAGAUGUAACGGGGCUAAACCAUGCACCGAAGCUGCGGCAGCGAACGUAUCACCCAAGACAACUUUGCACAGUUGACGAUUGACGGAGCGAAGCGACGUCAAAGCGUUUUACAACGUCGAGUUGGCUUAGGGAUACGUUCGUUGGGUAGGGGAGCGUUCUGUAAGCCUGUGAAGGUGGCCUGUGAGGGUUGCUGGAGGUAUCAGAAGUGCGAAUGCUGACAUAAGUAACGAUAAAGCGGGUGAAAAGCCCGCUCGCCGGAAGACCAAGGGUUCCUGUCCAACGUUAAUCGGGGCAGGGUGAGUCGACCCCUAAGGCGAGGCCGAAAGGCGUAGUCGAUGGGAAACGGGUUAAUAUUCCCGUACUUGGUGUUACUGCGAAGGGGGGACGGAGAAGGCUAUGUUGGCCGGGCGACGGUUGUCCCGGUUUAAGCGUGUAGGCUGGUUUUCCAGGCAAAUCCGGAAAAUCAAGGCUGAGGCGUGACGACGAGGCACUACGGUGCUGAAGCAACAAAUGCCCUGCUUCCAGGAAAAGCCUCUAAGCAUCAGGUAACAUCAAAUCGUACCCCAAACCGACACAGGUGGUCAGGUAGAGAAUACCAAGGCGCUUGAGAGAACUCGGGUGAAGGAACUAGGCAAAAUGGUGCCGUAACUUCGGGAGAAGGCACGCUGACACGUAGGUGAAGUGAUUUACUCAUGGAGCUGAAGUCAGUCGAAGAUACCAGCUGGCUGCAACUGUUUAUUAAAAACACAGCACUGUGCAAACACGAAAGUGGACGUAUACGGUGUGACGCCUGCCCGGUGCCGGAAGGUUAAUUGAUGGGGUCAGCGCAAGCGAAGCUCCUGAUCGAAGCCCCGGUAAACGGCGGCCGUAACUAUAACGGUCCUAAGGUAGCGAAAUUCCUUGUCGGGUAAGUUCCGACCUGCACGAAUGGCGUAAUGAUGGCCAGGCUGUCUCCACCCGAGACUCAGUGAAAUUGAACUCGCUGUGAAGAUGCAGUGUACCCGCGGCAAGACGGAAAGACCCCGUGAACCUUUACUAUAGCUUGACACUGAACAUUGAGCCUUGAUGUGUAGGAUAGGUGGGAGGCUUUGAAGCGUGGACGCCAGUCUGCGUGGAGCCGGCCUUGAAAUACCACCCUUUAAUGUUUGAUGUUCUAACGUGGACCCGUAAUCCGGGUUGCGGACAGUGUCUGGUGGGUAGUUUGACUGGGGCGGUCUCCUCCUAAAGAGUAACGGAGGAGCACGAAGGUUGGCUAAUCCUGGUCGGACAUCAGGAGGUUAGUGCAAUGGCAUAAGCCAGCUUGACUGCGAGCGUGACGGCGCGAGCAGGUGCGAAAGCAGGUCAUAGUGAUCCGGUGGUUCUGAAUGGAAGGGCCAUCGCUCAACGGAUAAAAGGUACUCCGGGGAUAACAGGCUGAUACCGCCCAAGAGUUCAUAUCGACGGCGGUGUUUGGCACCUCGAUGUCGGCUCAUCACAUCCUGGGGCUGAAGUAGGUCCCAAGGGUAUGGCUGUUCGCCAUUUAAAGUGGUACGCGAGCUGGGUUUAGAACGUCGUGAGACAGUUCGGUCCCUAUCUGCCGUGGGCGCUGGAGAACUGAGGGGGGCUGCUCCUAGUACGAGAGGACCGGAGUGGACGCAUCACUGGUGUUCGGGUUGUCAUGCCAAUGGCACUGCCCGGUAGCUAAAUGCGGAAGAGAUAAGUGCUGAAAGCAUCUAAGCACGAAACUUGCCCCGAGAUGAGUUCUCCCUGAGACUUAAAGUCUCCUGAAGGAACGUUGAAGACGACGACGUUGAUAGGCCGGGUGUGUAAGCGCAGCGAUGCGUUGAGCUAACCGGUACUAAUGAACCGUGAGGCUUAACCUU